ACAGCUGAAACAAAACAAAAAAACAAAAACAGAAAAUGAGAUGUAAUGACAAUGUAUAAAUGGAGGAAGAAAUGGACAGUAGAGGACAAACAUCUGAAAAUAUCAAAUGACAUCACUUAAACAGGUCACGGAAAGGAAUAUGAGACUAGUCGUUAACUAAAAAAAGAAAAGUGGUGGGAUUUUUCUGUGUAAAUAUAUAUAUGGGACUUCUGUUGCUUACGUAAGUCAGCAUCACACUCACACACACACACACUCGCACACAUACACACACACACGUGAGGAACAAGAUCUGAGGAGUCUCUUGGAGGACGUGUCUGGAAAUGUUGACUCUUGUCCUCUGUAAUUUCAACAUGAAGGAAAAGAAGGUCAGACUGUUUUGCAUCACAGACACAAAGGCACAGACGACAGCAGCUCUCAUUUGAUCCAAUCAGUAAGACAGUCGCUGCAACGAUGGAGGAGCCCUUUUAAUUAAAUGGGAUCACAGGGACCCCAAGAAGACCUGGCUGUUGGAAAGCAUGUUCAAACAUUCACUGAUGCUCCAGAAGGAAACAAGACGCAUUAAGAGCCGGGGGGUGA